GAUGAACGCUGGCGGCGUGCUUAACACAUGCAAGUCGAACGGUGAACGAGGGAGCUUGCUCCCUCCGGAUCAGUGGCGAACGGGUGAGUAACACGUGAGCAAUCUGCCCUAGACUCUGGGAUAAGCGUUGGAAACGACGUCUAAUACCGGAUACGAGACGCGAAGGCAUCUUCAGCGUCUGGAAAGAACUUCGGUCCAGGAUGAGCUCGCGGCCUAUCAGGUAGUUGGUGAGGUAACGGCUCACCAAGCCUACGACGGGUAGCCGGCCUGAGAGGGUGACCGGCCACACUGGGACUGAGACACGGCCCAGACUCCUACGGGAGGCAGCAGUGGGGAAUAUUGCACAAUGGGCGCAAGCCUGAUGCAGCAACGCCGCGUGAGGGACGACGGCCUUCGGGUUGUAAACCUCUUUUAGCAGGGAAGAAGCGAAGGUGACGGUACCUGCAGAAAAAGCACCGGCUAACUACGUGCCAGCCGCCGCGGUAAUAC
rnacentral:rRNA from 1 species